AUACUUAAUUUUUAAAAUUAAUUUAAAUGUAAAAAAACACUUAUAUAAAAGAAAGACGACAAGACCCUAUCGAACUUAACUUCAGUUAAACUGGGGUAGUAAAUCAAUUAUUAUUUUAAUUAUCAAAUUUAGAUAAAAAUCUAAUAUUAAAAUAUUCAGUUACCGUAGGGAUAACAGCACAAUUAUAUUUUAAAGUUCUUAUACAAAAUAUAGAUUAUGACCUCGAUGUUGAAUUAAUAACCUAAUUAAAGCAAAAUUUAAACAAGGAAGUCUGUUCGACUUUUAAAAAAUUACAUGAUUUGAGUUCAGACCGGUGUAAGCCAGGUCGGCUUCCAUCUUCUUUAAAACUUUUACAGUACGAAAGGACCUAUUAGAAUAAUUUAAUUUAUUAAUUGGCAGAUUAAUGCAUUAGAAUUAGAAUCUAAUAAAACUAGU
rnacentral:rRNA from 1 species